GGAGAUGUAGUUCAGUGGUAGAAUACACACCUCUCAUGUAUGAGAGGGAAGUUCAAUUCUUUCCAUCUCCA
rnacentral:tRNA from 2 species